GUUUGUACAAAAACAUUAAAAUAUUAUAUAAGGUAUCAUUUAUUACAUAAAUGUAUUUAUAAUAAUAACCUUGUGGGUGACCCACUUUUUUAGGGGUUGUAAUGUGUAGACAGUGGCGAGUAUCGAAGAUUGUAAUUUGCAUCAAAAUAAAGAUGUGUAAUUUGCAAAAAAAAAAAAAAGGUUAUGCAAUUUGCACCACCGUAGGUAGUUGAAAAUAGUGUUAGUAAUUUGCAUCAAAAUUAGUAACUAUGUAUUCGACUGUCAAGUGCUUAUAUUCGAUUGACCCGUACUAGAAUAUUUUAGCUGACUUAUACUAUUUUUAAAAAU